UGCCCUGAGGUGGGGACACCCACUGCCACCUCUCCCCUCCAGCAAACACACUUAUCACACAGGCUGACUCAAAUCCCAACCAGAGAUUCCAACUGUCCACAUUUGGGGUGGGUCAGCCACCAAUCAUUGAGAGGUGUGGCCAGCACCCUCUUCCCUAGCCUCUCCUUCAAACCACACACCACAGCUCUUUUGCAAACUGCCAGCUGGGAGGUUCUGGCCAGCCAGCUUGCUGGCACCGUCUGGCUACCUGAGAGAUGUUGCCAUUAACUCCUGAACAGCUGGCUGCCCUCAGCAAGGACAAGGAGCCAGGAAGAGAACUCCUUCUGGCUGACCAGCUACCUCUCCUGUGUUCCAGGGAGAAUGAGCCCAGGAAAUGGGGAUCCCUUAGGGACAACAUCAUCAUUCUCAAAUUCCGGACAAAAGAGCUGUGAUCCCUAACAAACAGCCCAAGGAUGGAUCAGUUCCCCAACGUCACACACUUGUUGCUGCACUGGUCUCAAGUUUCCUACAUCUUGCACUGGUCUUUGGAUUCAACUGCUUCAGGUUGCCCCACUGAGUGUGCAUGUGCAACUGCAUCAU